UGGAGAGAUAGCGAAGAGGCUAAACGCGGCGGACUGUAAAUCCGCUCCUUUGGGUUCGGGGGUUCGAAUCCCUCUCUCUCCAU
rnacentral:tRNA from 1 species